UGUGGAUUUUUCCGCAAUGGGCGAAAGCCUGACGGAGCAAUACCGCGUGAGGGAGGAAGGCUCUUGGGUCGUAAACCUCUUUUCUCAGGGAAGAACACAAUGACGGUACCUGAGGAAUAAGCAUCGGCUAACUCCGUGCCAGCAGCCGCGGUAAUACGGAGGAUGCAAGCGUUAUCCGGAAUGAUUGGGCGUAAAGCGUCCGCAGGUGGCAAUACAAGUCUGCUGUCAAAGGUCAAGGCUCAACUUUGGACAGGCAGUGGAAACUGUAUAGCUAGAGUGCGGUGGGGGCAGAGGGAAUUCCCAGUGUAGCGGUGAAAUGCGUAGGGAUUGGGAAGAACACCAGUGGCGAAAGCGCUCUGCUAGGCCGCAACUGACACUCAGGGACGAAAGCUAGGGGAGCGAAUGGGAUUAGAUACCCCAGUAGU
rnacentral:rRNA from 1 species